CGGUUUCUUAAUUGGAAUAUUUUCGCAAAACUGAAAUGUAGAGGCGCUGCUUGUUCACAGAUGAUACUUUCAGCAAGAGCUGUCAAAUCGGUAGGAAAAUUUCUAAUUACUCCACCUUUUCAACGAUUUCUUUUGAAAACGGGCAAAUACAUUCGAAAAAUCAUAGUAGAAGUUGAAGAAAAAGUUUUUACUCUGAGGUUGUAAUGUUGAUCUUAGUUCAUUGUGCGAAAUCUACCGUUUAUUCAGAAUAGAGCAUUAAACUUGGUUUGAUAUCAUUUUUCAAAUGCCUGUAAAUAACAAAUAAAGUAUCCAAAAUAAAUAGUACUCGAUCGCUAUACAUUCUAGUACUCGAGAAAUCAACAUUACACUGGUUUCUGUUAAAAAAAAAUGUUGAUCAGGAAAACCUAACCGUAUAGUUCUAAAGAUAUUCAGCACUUCCACACAAAAAAAUAAGAAGAAGAAAUAAUGUUGGUAAUGAUGGAAAAUCCGGAAUUCCAUCAUUACUCGUGUCAUUACUGAACUCGUAGACCUUACACGAUCAUUAAAAGUGCCAUUACUUUUUAGUAAUGACACUUUUAAUGAUCGUGUAAGGGCCGCUAAUGUGCCAAUCACAUUUGGUGGUGGUACGAUCAGUUGGGCGGCAAGGAAGCAAACGUGUGUCGCUUUAUCAUCAAAGCCUUGGGAUUACAUUUCUGUAGUGGAAUUUGACCUUCUGUUUCAACAGACUUCGCAGCCGAUUCAGAGUGUCGGGGCUCGAACAUACGACAACUGGUUUGUAAGACCAGCGCCCUAUGCAUUGAACCGCCAACCCGGGCGCUUUAUCAUCAACUGAGGCCGAAUUUGUUGCUGCUGCUGAAGUUGGUCAGGCACUACUUUGGAUGCGGAAGCUUAUGACAGAUUUGUGUGAACCAAUUAGUAACAUCGUAUUGUACGAAGACAACCAAAGCACUAUCCGUCAACUGGAAGCAGAAAGGUUAAAGCGACGAGCAAAACAUGUUGAUACCAAGUUCCAGUUUACAAAGGACCUGACCUCGUCCUACAAGGCGUUUUGUCGGUAGUUUAUUGUCCAUCAGAAGACAUGGUAGUUUAUUGUGCAUCAGAAGAAAAAUUAUCCAAACAUCGAACUUAGGUGAUAGAGCGGCAAAAUUUAUUUGUCUAAAAAUAAGUGCUCUUGAAAAAUGAACAAAACGAUUUCUUUAAAAAAAGAAAGAGUGUCAAUUUUAUUCAAAUCAAACGUAUGUACAAUAAACAAACCUCAAUAUAA